rnacentral:lncRNA from 1 species
UGCAUAUACAGACAUUGCAAUGCAACAGUGUGCUUCAGCAGCUCUAAUUUGAUUUACAGUCUUAGUUUUCAAUAUAAAUCCUAAGAUUCAUUGUUUUAAUAGGUGAGAGCAAUCCAAGAAGUACAUCAGAAACAGAAAAAAAUGUGAGGAUGACCAGAUGCAAGCUGAAUCUCUUCUUGUUGGUGCUACAGCAGCCUUGGGCACGCUUAAUAAGGUUCCUGUUCCUGUGAUGGAGGGCCUGGACCCAAUUGCCACAUUGACGGAUGAUGCUACGACUACAGGAUGAAGUAACGAGGGACUGCCUGCUGAUCGGAUGUCAGCAGAAAAUGCCACAAUUAAAACACACUGCAAGUGCUGUUUUUUUAUGAUAGAUCACCAGCAAGAGGGAAUUAAAUAGAUAAAGACUAAAUACAGAGCUGACCUUAAAGUCAUACAUGUAGGACAGAAAGGGUAUGUGCAUGCUGAAGGAUUGUC